GAUGAACGCUGGCGGCAUGCCUAAUACAUGCAAGUCGAACGAGAGGAAGGAAAGCUUGCUUUUCUGAAUCUAGUGGCGAACGGGUGAGUAACACGUAGGUAACCUGCCCAUGUGCCCGGGAUAACUUCUGGAAACGGAUGCUAAAACCGGAUAGGUAGCAGACAAGCAUUUGACUGCUAUUAAAGUGGCUAAGGCCAUGAACAUGGAUGGACCUGCGGUGCAUUAGCUAGUUGGUGAGGUAACGGCCCACCAAGGCGACGAUGCAUAGCCGGCCUGAGAGGGCGGACGGCCACAUUGGGACUGAGACACGGCCCAAACUCCUACGGGAGGCAGCAGUAGGGAAUUUUCGUCAAUGGGGGGAACCCUGAACGAGCAAUGCCGCGUGAGUGAGGAAGGUCCUCGGAUCGUAAAGCUCUGUUGUAAGGGAAAAACGACAUUCAUAGGGAAUGAUGAGUGAGUGAUGGUAUCUUACCAGAAAGUCACGGCUAACUACGUGCCAGCCGCCGCAGUAA
rnacentral:rRNA from 1 species